rnacentral:rRNA from 1 species
UGGGGAAUUUUGGACAAUGGGGGAAACCCUGAUCCAGCCAUCCCGCGUGUGCGAUGAAGGCCUUCGGGUUGUAAAGCACUUUUGGCAGGAAAGAAACGUCAUGGGUUAAUACCCCGUGAAACUGACGGUACCUGCAGAAUAAGCACCGGCUAACUACGUGCCAGCAGCCGCGGUAAUACGUAGGGUGCAAGCGUUAAUCGGAAUUACUGGGCGUAAAGCGUGCGCAGGCGGUUCGGAAAGAAAGAUGUGAAAUCCCAGGGCUGAACUUUGGAACUGCAUUUUUAACUGCCGGGCGAGAGUGUGUCAGAGGGGGGUGGAAUUCCGCGUGUAGCAGUGAAAUGCGUAGAUAUGCGGAGGAACACCGAUGGCGAAGGCAGCCUCCUGGGAUAACACUGACGCUCAUGCACGAAAGCGUGGGGAGCAAACAGGA